UUGGGCCUCAAUAUCAGGUAGGACUACCCGCUGAACUUAAGCAUAUCAUUAACCGGAGAAA
rnacentral:rRNA from 1 species